GAGAGGAAUGAGAGGGAAGGAGGGAGAGAGCAAGUCUUGGAAAGAAACAGAAAGAUGGAAUUGUGGAGGCGGGAAAGAGCAAGAGAAGCAAGGACAUAACAACCAGAGAAAAGUGUAUGGGUGUGUGUGUGUGUUUGCUUUAUUGCAGUGGCCCCACCUACCCCUCCAUCCUGUUAAGGAGGCACAGUCCUAAGGAGGAGGGGUAGGAUCCCCUCCCUCAGCCACUGACACACACACACACAUACACACACUCUCUCUCUGGCUCAUACACACACUGUGCUCCGUGAGGGAGCAGUCGCUGAAGAGCUCUGGAUAACCGUGCGAGGCUCUGCAGGUGUCCCACCCUUCUCUCUUCACACUGAUGCUUCAGAAGUGUAACCAUGAUGGGAGAAGUAAUGUGCAAGAUCAGGGGACGAAAGCGGACCUGCGACAAACAUCCCAGGUUGGUCUCCAAGGCAGAAUGUCACAGUUUAACACCGUGUGGUCCUUCGCCCACAGGAGCCACUAUGACGGGCCUGAUGUGCAGCUCCACUUCCACAUUACUUGUAUGGGUUGCGGUGCAUAUGUUGAACUCACUGUAGGAUGCGUGCAUGCCUUUAGGUGUGUGAAUAAGAGAGAUGUACAUGUUGCUCAGUCAGCUAUUGCACAGACAGAGGCCAUCAAUCACAAAUGCACCGUGAGCCGCAUUGCUCUUUUGCUGGUCCCUCAAGUCCUUUUCUUUCUGGGCCAGAAUUACACAGCAUUUUACCUGCGGCGCUGCAUUUUUCCUGGACUUUGUCUCAACCCUGCACCGUAACUCAAGCAACACAUUUGUGUGGUGCCGCGGCUUUUAAAACUAUAAUGAGGUUAAAUUUCACGGCGUAACGCAGCCUCGUAUAAACGAACACAAGCAAUUUCCCCAGUUUUGACUGGGUUUUUCAUCUCUAGAUGUGGCAAUAUCUGUACGAAGUCUGUGAUAUUUGUGGUGGUCGGUGCAGUUUAGAAUUAAUACAAAUUUACCUUAGGGGAAAGGUCCUUUCUUGCAUUUGCAAUAACCUCACCCCUCAUUACAUACAUUUCUAUAAAUACUGUAAGCAGUAUAAGUACACGUGUUACUGAAGGUCCUUUCCUUAUCCCAUCCUUUACCUCACAGAGACGCUUCUCUUUGCCUUCUUUUUUUCCCCCUGCAUGUAGCUGACGUCAGUUUUUAAAGCGCUGUAUGUGCCCGUCCCCC
rnacentral:lncRNA from 1 species